rnacentral:rRNA from 1 species
AUCGAACGCUGGCGGCAGGCCUAACACAUGCAAGUCGAGCGAGCGGCGGACGGGUGAGUAAUGUAUGGGGACUGCCCGAUAGAGGGGGAUAACUACUGGAAACGGUUGCUAAUUACGCAUACUAUCGAAUAACCCAUAUGGGAUUAGCUAGUAGGUGGGGUAAAGGCUCACCUCGGCGACGAUCGCUAGCUGGUCGGAGAGGAUGAUCAGCCACACGGGGACUGAGACACGGCCCAGACUCCAACGGAGGCGGCAGUGGGGAAUAUUGCACAAUGGGCGCAAGCCGGAUGCAGCCAUGCCGCGUGUAUGAAGAAGGCCUUAGGGUUGUAAAGUACUUUCAGCGGGGAGGCGUUACCCGCAGAAGAAGCACCGGCUAACUCCGUGCCAGCAGCCGCGGUAAUUC